rnacentral:rRNA from 1 species
UCACUUGUUCUUUAAAUGAGGACUUGUAUCAACGGCACCACGAGGGUUAUACUGUCUCCUUUCUCUAAUCAGUGAAACUGAUCUCUCCGUGAAGAAGCGGGGAUACUCCUAUAAGACGAAAAGACCCCAUGGAGCUUCAAACCCAACUACACCCUUAACUACCACAACCGCACAACCUCUUAGGGCCCUGUAUAGUUGGUUUUAGGUUGGGGCGACCACGGAGUACAACCAAACCUCCGCAAUGGACGGGACCACUCCCUUAUCUAAGAGCCACACCUCUAAGAAUUAAAACACUAACAUAAAAUGAUCCAUGAUCUGAUCAAUGAACCAAGUUACCCUGGGGAUAACAGCGCAAUCCAUUUCAAGAGCCCUUAUCGACAA